rnacentral:rRNA from 1 species
AUUGAACGCUGGCGGCAUGCCUUACACAUGCAAGUCGAACGGUAACGGGCCUUCGGGUGCCGACGAGUGGCGCACGGGUGCGUAAUACAUCGGAACGUGCCCGAUCGUGGGGGAUAACGAGGCGAAAGCUUUGCUAAUACCGCAUACGAUCUACGGAUGAAAGCAGGGGACCGCAAGGCCUUGCGCGGACGGAGCGGCCGAUGGCAGAUUAGGUAGUUGGUGGGAUAAAAGCUUACCAAGCCGACGAUCUGUAGCUGGUCUGAGAGGAUGAUCAGCCACACUGGGACUGAGACACGGCCCAGACUCCUACGGGAGGCAGCAGUGGGGAAUUUUGGACAAUGGGCGCAAGCCUGAUCCAGCCAUGCCGCGUGCAGGAUGAAGGCCUUCGGGUUGUAAACUGCUUUUGUACGGAACGAAAAGCCUUCUUUUAAUACAGGAGGGUCAUGACGGUACCGGAAGAAUAAGCACCGGCUAACUACGUG